rnacentral:rRNA from 1 species
AACGAACGCUGGCGGCAUGCCUAACACAUGCAAGUCGAACGAGACCUUCGGGUCUAGUGGCGCACGGGUGCUUAACGCGUGGGAACCUGCCCUUAGGUUCGGAAUAACUCCCCGAAAGGGGUGCUAAUACCGGAUAAUGUCUUCGGACCAAAGAUUUAUCGCCUUUGGAUGGGCCCGCGUUGGAUUCGCUAGUUGGUAGGGUAAAAGCCUAGCAAGGCGACGAUCCAUAGCUGGUCUGAGAGGAUGAUCAGCCACACUGGGAAUGAGACACGGCCCAGACUCCUACGGGAGGCAGCAGUGGGGAAUAUUGGACAAUGGGCGAAAGACUGAUCCAGCAAUGCCGGGUGAGUGAUGAAGGCCUUAGGGUUGUAAAGCUCUUUUAGCCGGGAUGAUAAUGACAGUACCGGGAGAAUAAGCUCCGGCUAACUACGUG